UGCAAUAUGGCUAAAGGAAAAGGCAGAAAAAGCAAUCCAACAAAAUUACCUGUUUGAACCAAUCUAUUUGGCCAUAUUGUAUACACCCCAGCUGGUGAGCCACUUCCAACCAACAAGAGGUAUGAUGCUACCAAAAUUUUCAGUCACCCUGAUAUUGUUGCUGAGGAAACAUGGUAUGGUAUUGAGCAAGAGUAUACCUUAUUGCAGAAAGAUGUAAAUUGACUACUUGGGUGGCCACUUGGUGGGUUUCCUGGACCACAGAACAAAGCUAAGGAUAAUGAUUCUGAUAAUAAUGUGGAUUUUGUUGCUGGGAAUGUGAAACUUAUUACCACCAAAGAAGUGUGGAACCAAUAUUUGGAAGAAGCAAGGAGGGAUGAUAAAAUUGUAAGUUUCCCUCUUUUUUACUCUGUAGGAUAGUAAAUUUAAUAAGAUAAUUCUACUUUAGUAAUUUUCCUUCAUCAUGAGAGUUCUCUCUCUUUAUUUAAUCAUAGCUCUCCGUACUAUGUUUUUGGACCAUUCUUAUUGUUAUUUGUCUUAAAGGUCUAAAUAGAAAUAAAUUUAGAGUUUGUUUGAGAUCAUUGUAAAAAAAA